rnacentral:tRNA from 1 species
GGGGGUGUGGUGUAGUGGAUAGCAUCAGGGGCUUCGAACUCCUGGACUCCGGUUCGAAUCCGGACACCCCCG